ACGAGGAACCAAAUCGACAAAAAAGGAUAGACGAAACAUUGAAAUAUAUAACACUCGUUUUAUUUCAUAUUUAGCAAGGUUUCUUAUUGUUUUU
rnacentral:ribozyme from 1 species